UAUAUAUAUAUAUAUGUACAAUUAGUAAAGACUACUCUCGGCAUGAUAAAACUAAGUGUAUUCAUCCAAUAAUUUAUGUCACAUUUUGGAAAUAUAUUUUAAAAACUAAGAUCUAGGAAUUGCUUUGUUACUUUUGUCUUUCGUGGAAGUGAUACCUCGUUAAUUCAAUAGAUAUAGUCUUUAGAAAAAAAAGAAAAAAAGUAAAGAAAGAAAGUAGCCUAGGAGCUACCACCAAUGUUCCGGCCACUAUCAGUCCUAAAGUGGUCUGUUUGCCACUCGUCCGCCCUCUGUUUGACACGUUGAGAAACCACCAUCAGGUUAGGCGUGCCAGCCACCAUUAUUCUCUACAAUAAGGUCCAACAUCAGCAUGCCACCUACCACCGGGUUAAGGUUCCGCUCCUGCCAGAUUAAGUGGAAGUGAUGUCAAAUUGAGAUUUAUUCGUCUCAAAGUGUCACUAUCAUCUCAAAUGUCUUUUACUCUAUUCUGUCUCUACAGACCGCCAUUGUCCAUGUCAAUUUUAUUAUCAGUUUAAUUCCAUGUUAAACGAAUGUGACUUUGACAAAGCAGUUAUAAUUAAUGGGUGAUUUUAAUGUAAAUUGGGAAGUCUGAAAAAAAAUCCCUAAAACCUCAAAUUGAUUGCAUCGAUGCAAGGAUAACCCACUCUAUGGGGUGCCAUUUGUAAUGGCGCACGUUCUAAAAUCCUGCUCAGUUUUGGUACAUUUAGCAUUAUCAUAUGAAAAAAAGCACGACAAAAUUCAGAUUUCCAACAUUUAGAGAAAUUCAUGUAAAUUCAUGCAAUAACUUGUCCAAGGAUAUGUUUGGCAGUAACACAAAGUUGUUAAAUAAUAUAAAUGUUUUAUCUAAAUGUAAAGGGAAAAAAAUGCAAUCUUUACACCCCCUUCCCCCAGCCAGGCAUUGGCUUAUCGGGGCCAUAAUAAGGUAUCAUGUCGGCCACAUUUACAUUGCCCCCCUUCAUCUUACCAGUCAAACAUUGAACCAGUGUUUAGUUUAUAGGACCUAAUUUCUUCUCUACCCUGACACCCAGCUGGGUGUAAAUUUGCUAGAGUAUUUGUCUGAGGGUUUAGACUGUGGGUAUGACCUAAUCCAGACAAGGGCACAUUUCCCCCAUAGUCUCACUGGAACUCAGGCAACCACCAGUCCCAGUCUUAAUGGUAAUCACCCACAAAGGAGGCCAUCAUAGUCUUCAGCGUCCGGUUGACCCUCGCCGUAGGUUAUUAAAUGGCUUGUGAAUUGGGGUCCCUUAUCUGAGAUUAGGUCCGCUGGGACCCCCCCGGCGGGGAUGUCAUUUUUUAGGGUUAGGGUUAGACCGUUGGUGUUUUGGCAUCCUUCAGUGCAAAAAGCUCUACCGAUUUAGUGUAGUGGUCCACUACUACCAUGAGGACCAAAUUCCGGGCCUUGCUGAGUGGGAAGGGCCCAAUGAAGUCCAGCCCUAUCAUCUCCCCGGGCUCACUAACCUCAGUUGUCUGGAGUUGACCCCCCCUUCCCCCCCGAUACAACGCUCCUUGUGUUGUAUCAGAUGUUUUCAAGACUGCUACUAACAGUCCGGAUGAGUUCACUGAGGCUGCAACAUCUUACAUCGGCUUCUGUGAGGACAGCUGUGUACCAUCAUGCACCAGGGUGAGUUACAACAACGACAAACCCUGGUUCACAGCGGAACUCAGAACACUACGCCUGCAGAAGGAUCAGGGAUUUCUCUGUAUCACGUUCCCCUCCCCCCUCACCAGCAACGGCCCUCUCUAUUCUGGAGAGAGACGUUAACCGGCUCUUGAAAAGACAAAACCCCCGUAAGGCAGCCGGCUCGGACUCCGUCUCUCUCCGCACCCUGAAGCAUUGUGCUGACCAGCUGUCUCCGGUGUUCACUGAGAUCUUCAACACCUCCCUGGAGACAUGCCACGCACCAGCCUGCUUCAAGGCGUCCACCAUCAUCCCUGUUCCCAAGAAGCCCAGGAUCAAAGGACUCAAUGACUACAGGCCUGUCACAGCACAUGAAGCUGGGGACAUAUGUCUCUGCCUCCCAGACCAUCAGCACCAGUUCCCCCCAAGGCUGCGUUCUUUCCCCUCUGCUCUUCUCCCUGUACACCAACAGCUGCACCUCCAGUCACCAGUCCGUCGAGCUCCUGAAGUUUGCGGAUGACACCACCCUCAUUGGACUGAUCUCUGGUGGGGAUGAGUCCGCCUACAGGUGGAGUCUGACCAUCUGGUGUCGUGGUGCAGUCAGAACAACCUGGAGCUCAACGCUCUAAAGACAGUGGAGAUGGUUGUGGAUUUCAGAAUGAGGGCAGCCCCUCCAGCCCCCCUAAGCUGGACGACUGUGGGUGAGUGGGGAGCAGGUCAUCCUCCAAUCAGAGGGUUGUUGGUUCGAUCCCAGGCCCUGCUAAACCGCACGUCGAUGUGUCCUUGGGCAAGACACUUAACCCGACAUUGCUCCUGUAGCUGUGACUACAGUGUGUGAAUGUUAGUUACUGAUGGCAGGUGUCACUGUGUGUGGUUCUCCUGUCAUCAGUGUUUGAAUGGGUGUGAAUGGGCGAAUAAUGUCAUGUAGUGUUAUAGCGCUUUGAGUGGUCAGAAGACUAGAAAAGCGCUAUAGAAGUACAGUCCAUUUACUAUUUGCUAUCACCCUGUGUGACUCUUCCGAUUCCCGGGCUCCAUCAUCACCCAGGACCUCAAGUGGGAGCUGAACAUCAGCUCAUCCGCUCUGCAGAGAGGGUCAUCGGCUGCAAUCUGCCGUCCCUCCAGGACUUGUUCACUUCUAGCACCCUGAAACGAGCUAGAAAGAUUGUAGCCGACCCGUCUCACCCCGGACGAAACCUGUUUGUGCCCCUUUCAUCAUGGCAGGAGGCUGACUUCAAAAGAAUUCAUGACUACAGAGGUCAGGGCGACGGGCCUGUAGUCAUUGAGUCCUGUGAUCCUGGGCUUCUUGGGAACCGGGAUGAUGGUGGAGGCCUUGAAGCAGGCUGGUACGUGGCAUGUCUCCAGGGAGGUGUUGAAGAUGUCAGUGAACACCGGAGACAGCCGGUCAGCAAAAAUUCUUCAGGGUGUGAGGGGAGACUGAGUCCGGGCCGGCUGCCUUACCGGAGAUUUGUCUUUUAAAGAGCCGGUUAACGUCUCUCUCCAGAAUAGAGAGGGUCGUUGCACCCGCCCGUAGUUAUUACUGCACAAAGUUAUGAACCUGAAAUAUCACUUUCUAAGUCGUUAACGUUACAGAAUAAAUACACAAAGAAACUGAACUUGCUUUGCUCCAUUUGUUGGGUUGUGUGAUUAUAAACUAACUUUACAUUUAGUUGUGCUUUGAGUUCUUCUCUCACCCUGAAAUAUAUCAUGCUCCUAAAUUAAAUGAAAUAGAUUAUCUUCUUUUUCUGUACUUUGUCCUUUAAGGCUUUUACUGUCACGCGCAGCAGGUUGCUAGGCAACAGGAGUAGCGGAGGUAACGCUGAUGACGCAAGCGGGAAGUCCCCUCAUAGGACAGACCGUCCCGUUUCAGAGACCGUUCGGUUCAGCCUAUGCGGUUGUUGAAGGACGCAGGUCUACCGCGAAGGCUGCAGGCUACAAGGAUGCAGCCUAGAGACUUUGAGACACAGCUAUUGAUCCUUCUUCUUCUUUGGUGUUCAUUGGCAGUUGGCAAACCAUCUUAGAGGUGCAUUACCGCCACCAUCUGGACUGGAGUGUGGAACGGGAGUCCAUGCAGAACCAAAAUAGAUAAAUAAAAGAGUCGUUAGCUGUGUCUCAAAGUCGCUAGGGUGCAUCCUUGUAGCCUUCAUAUUUAAUUUAAUUUAGGAAGAUACGCUUCUCCUCCAGGAGAUUAAGGAAUUUUUAUUUAUUUUUUUGCAUAGGAUACAAGCUAUUUUAACUGUAAAAUAUUAGGUCCACGCUACAGUAGCUCCUUCAGCUUGAUGCUGCUCCUGCUCCAUAAAACACAACUAAAUGUAAAGUUAAUUCAUAAUCACACUACAAAACAAAAGGAGCAAAGCAAGUUCAGUUUCUUUGUGUAUUUAUUCUGUAUCACUAGCUUAGUGAUAUUUCAGGUUCAUAACUUUACGUGACAUUACAGGUCAUUUAGCUGACGCUUACAUUGCAUUUUUAACCCAUAGUUUUUACAUUUUGCCCAGAGACCAAUUAGGGCUUAGGUGUCUUGCUCAGGGACACUUGGACAUGGAGCAGCCGGGGGUCGAACCGCCAACCUUGCAGUUCCGGCGCACCUUCUCUACUCCAUGGGAACUUCUGUUCAUAGUAUGACGUAUAAACUAUAUAUGAAACCGUCACAGCGUCAGCCUCUGAAGUGUGAAAGUCAUUAAAGUGACUUUUCACUAAUAACUACAGAUGAGCUCCCGUUAAACUGCACGGACCAGGAGGGGUUCAGGUACGAGCCUGAGUAACAGGCUGUGUGUGGGGGGGGCAGCAGGACGGAGUUAAAGUUAAGACUUUAGAACAAACUGCUCUUAUGUUAAUUUAAAAACUCGACAUCGGUUACCAACGUCGUGUCACGUAAUAUUGAUUUCAUAAAGUAAGAUAUGAUGUUAUAUAUUACAGUAUAACAUUUCUAUCUGUAGAUAUUCGAGGGAAUUAUAUUAUUUAUUAUUAUUAUUAAGUAAUCUAUUACAUUUAAAAGUGAACACUUCCGCGCUGUCGGACCAGCCGUCUCCAUCCUGAAUGAAUUAAAACCUGGUCGGCCCGCACUGCAUGCUGGGAUAUGCUGGUCCACAAAGGACAGAUCAGAUGUGUCCUCCAAACGCGUCUCCUGGAGGACCACGUUCGGAGGAGCCGACGGAUUGGGACAGCCGAGUCGCAGCGGAAGUGACGAAUGCGGUGGACGAAUGAGUCCUUAAGGAUGCAUCCUAGCGACUUGGGAGACACAGACAAAGCCGUUUAUCCAGUGCAGGCACUGCAGCCACCAGGCACGUGGCAUUGGUCACACCCGCAGCCCAUCAACUGAUUGGAAGGAGGAUAUGUUCAGAGCUGAGCAGCAGCAGUGAGGGAAAGACGUAGCAGGAGACAGAGAUCUCGUCAUACUCAUGAAAGCGCAAGUGAUCCUGAGGACCAUGUGCCUGCUGAGGAGGCCAGUUAAAGUCCAAAUGAACCGUGUGUAAGAAUUCAGUCUAAAUUAUUUGUUGAGAGACCAUUUACAUGACUAAUGUUGUAGAUAUUAUUUUGGUCAAUCUGAACACUUUCGUUAAUAAAAGUAAGCUACAGGCCGGCACUGAAAGCUUGGUGUCUUCAUAACAGCUGAUGUGGGUGGAUUUUCCUUUGGUGCUGCUGGCAGAUUUACACUGUCAACAUUCAGUGUAAAAUGGACAAGGAAAGCACUUUUUGGAGGGGGUUUCCUGCGAGGGUUUUGGGACAGAGGAUGUCGCAUGUGUACAAAUUUGUGAUCUCUGAUUUUGGACUAUAUAAAAUAAAAUGAAUUGAAGAAAAAAGGGAAUACUCAUUAUAAAUUCACCACCAGUCUUGGUUGGAGAAAAUGGGGCAAGUAAAAGGGAUAAUGAAGGCCGGCGCAUGUUUCUGCGUUUGCGUCUGCGUCGUUGCGUCGACGCACUCGUUUCACUUCCUGGUUCUAAAGUCUUGCGUGUGUUGCGGAGCAAUUCACGGCCAGAACAACAGGCGGAGUGACGUGUUUUGUUGAAGACGUCACGUCUAUUUAUUUAUUUAUUUAUUUGUUUAUUUAUCAUAGACUUUAUUGCCCCGUGCAUCCACACUGCUGCUUUUCAUUGCGGAAACAUUUGUCCCGUAUUUUCCUCCACAACUUUGUUCCUCUCGACUGGCAAACCGGCGUUUGCGGUGAUCUCCCUCCGUGAAUCCAACCCGCUUCUACAACCCGCCAAUGACGGCUUGUACAAGUGCUCAUAUUUACACAUUUCUUCAGACAAAAGUUCUUCAAUCUGCUCCGUUCUCUCGUAAACAUUCUUCGUUUUAAUAAUGGUGCUAUCGGGCUAUGAAAGCGGAAAUGUGAGACUCCGUAAAGGACGUAGUUAGCGCACCAAUCGCAGCCUGGUGCGCCGCGGGAGGCUUGCGUCGCAGAAAAAUGGCUCGACACACGCAAGGACGCAAGGAGGUGUGGAAAGCGAUGCAAGGGACACGCAAGGGGGGCUUGCGUCUGCGUCGCUCUGAAAACGCAGAAGCAUAAACUAGGCUUUAGUGAGCGGCACUCUUUGGAAAGUCCUCAAAAAACUAAAUGAAGUAGAGGCGGAAGAGAAGGGGAGGUUGGGCAUGUCUAGCUUGCUGCGAACGCUGCUGUGUCUUCCUAUAAAAUACUAACAACACAUAAUCAUCAAGGCCUUAACUGAACCUACAGUGUACAAGGUAUCGUUUUUUGGACCUUUUACUAAUCUUAAUACCAGUGUAGUCUCAGUACUGACUUUUAACAGUCUCACAACCUGCAAAUGGUGGUAAAGGCUGCCCUCAGCUGUUGAAAUUUGGUGGUUAACUGGUGUUAGUUACGCAGGUCAUAAUUCCCUCUCUAACAUCUAUUGUACAAUGGCUUGGGGCCAAAUGUUUCCAUCAAAUGUCUUUACCGUAUUUUCCGCACUAUAAAACGCAAGAAGUCGUUCUUGCCGAGCACAUAAUGAGAUUAAAGAGCGAGAGACGGUGAACUUUUCUUUACAGUAGCUGAACCAUCUUAACGGGGAAAAUAAGUUAUUCUAAAAGGAGCCCUUGGCAGGCAGCGUGGCUGGAGAGCAGCCGAAGAUUUAAGGCGUGGAUGGCGAGGGGGGCGGCGGGAGCGGACGCACCUCGCAGCAUCGAUCGGACCCUGAAAGCACCGUCUCUUCGGAGGAAAACAGCACCUCAGUUGCCCAAGUAAUGGACCGGGCUCCUUUAAUACAGCUGUUUACUUAUUCAGUUCUUUACUUUACACUGCAUCUGGAAAGUAUUCACAGCACUUCACUUUUUCCACAUUUUGUUAUGUUACAGCCUUAUUCCAAAAUGGAUUAAAUUCAUUAUUUUCCUCAACAUUCUACACACAACAACCCAUAAUGACAAAGUGAAAACUGUUUUUGAAGAUUUUGGCAAAUCUGUUAAAAAUAAAGAAAUAAAACGUAACAUGUACAUAAGUAUUCACAGCCUUUGCCAUGACACUCAAAAUUGAGCUCAGGUGCCUCCUGUUUCCACUGAUCAUCCUUGAGAUGUUUCUACAACUUGAUAGGAGUCCACCUGCUGACAGUGCGUAUCAGAGCAUAAACCAAGCCAUGAAGGCCAAGGAAUUAUCUGUAGACCUCUGAGACAGAAUUGUAUCGAGGCACAGAUCUGGCGAAGGGUACAGAAAGAUUUCUGCAGCAUUGAAAGUCUCAAUGAGCACAGUGGCCUCCAUCAUCCGGAAAUGGAAGAAGUUUGGAACCACCAGGACUCUUCCUAGAGUGGGCCGCCCAGCCAGACUGAGCGAUCGGGGGAGAAGGGCCUUAGUCAGGGAGGUGACCAGGAACCCCAUGGUCACUCUGACAGAGCUCCAGCGUUGUUCUAUGAAGAGGAGAAUCUUCCAGAAGGACCACCAUCUCUGCAGCACUCCACAAAUCAGGCCCGUUUGGUAGAGUGGCCAGACGGAAGCCACUCCUCAGUAAAAAGCACAUGACAGCCUGCCUGAAGGACUCUCAGACCAUGAGAAAUAAAAUUCUCUGAUGAAACAAAGAUUGAACUCUUUGGCCUGAAUGCCAAGCGUCAUGUGUGGAGGAAACCAGGCACUGCUCAUCACCUGGCCAAUACCAUCGCUACAGUGAAGCAUGGUGGUGGCAGCAUCAUGCUGUGGGAUGUUUUUCAGCGGGAGGAACUGGGAGACUAGUCAGGAUUGAGGGAAAGAUGAAUGCAGCAAUGUACAGAGACAUCCUCGAUGAAAACAUGCUCCAAAGAGCACUGGACCUCAGACUGGGGCGACGGUUCAUCUUCCAACAGGACAACGACCCGAAGCACAUAGCCAAGAUAACAAAGGCUUCGGCACAACUCUGAAUGUCCUUGAGUGGCCCAGCCAGAGCCCUGACCUGAACCCGAAUGAACAUCUCUGGAGAGAUCUGAAAAUGGCUGUGCACCGACGCUCCCCAUCCAACCUGACGGAACUUGAGAGGUUCUGCAAAGAAGAAUGGGAGAAACUGCCCAGAAAUAGGUGUGCCACGCUUGUGGAAUCACACCCAAGAAGACUUGAGGCUGUAAUUGCUCCCAAAGGUGCUUCAACAAAGUAUUGAGCAAAGGCUGUGAAUACUUAUGUACAUGUUAUGUUUUCAUUCUUUGUUUUUAACAGAUUUGCAAAAAACAGUUUUGACUUUGUCAUUAUGGGUUGUUGUGUGUAGAAUGUUGAGGAAAAUAAUGAAUUUAAUCCAUUUUGGAACAAGGCUGUAACAUAACAAAAUGUGAAGCGCUGUGAAUACUUUCCGGAUGCACUGUAAAUCACAUUUAAACAGAUGGCCUUUUAAAUGAUCCUAAUCCAAUGCUUAUUUUCACAAAAUAGAGCAUCAACACAUCAAGAUUAACCCUAAGAAACCUCCAUUCACAUCGGCUGGUUAUUUAGACAAGCAGGAAUAUGCUGCUUUUGGUUUUCAGGGCUGUGUGUCCCUCUUGACUAAUGAGCAAAGUGAAAAGCAGCAGAGCUUGGUAAAUUGUAGCUUGUGUGAAUACCUCACUUCUUAAUCAAUAAAAAAUUAGGUAGCAAAAAUAUUUGAUUCAAUUCAGUAUUGCCAGGUAGUUGCCAAAAACUCUUUUGAUAAAGAGUUUUGAUAACUUGACCACACACACUGCAUGAAAAGUGAGAUUUUCGUCCCCGUAAACGCCCGGAAAUCUCCCUAAUUUCCGUCAAUUUCCGACAAUUUGCAACCCGCGCACGUUGCGUUUGUCUGUGCCACAAAUUGUCGGAAACGAACGAACCGUAUAUGCGGAGAGCUGGCGGAGGUGCGAAUGGCCCGAAUUAGCAUAUGAAUGCAGCGAAACCGUGGGUGGCCGAGGGGAGAGGGCUUGAAUAUCCUUACUCCUUAUUGGAUGAAACCACAACUUACUAACAAAUAAAAUCACUCGUGAUUGGCAGCAAAACCACACGUGGGCAGACCAGGCUUGAGUUUCCUUGUCGCUAUUGGUCACCCGCCUCAUUUUAUUUAUAUAUUCAUAUUAUGAUGUAUAUUCAUUUCAUGGUUAUCCUAUGUAGGCUACUACACUAUUAUUAGGAUACCAACCAGGACAUCAAUGCAUUUAUAGAGAAAAUGAACAUUUGACACAUGUUUAUGCAAAGAAAGAGCUUUAUUAACAACAUACAAACAACAACUACAUACAAAG
ensembl:lncRNA